ensembl:lncRNA
CCCAGACAACAGGGAGGGAGCUGGGCGAAGGAAACAGCCCAGACAACAGGGAGGGAGCUGGCCGAAGGAAACAGCCCAGACAACAGGGAGGGAGCUGGGCGAAAGAAACAGCCCAGACAACAGGGAGGGAGCUGGGCGAAGGAAACAGCCCAAACAACAGGGAGGGAGCUGGGCAAAGGAAACAGCCCAGACAACAGGGAGGGAGCUGGGCAAAGGAAACAGCCCAGACAACAGGGAGGGAGCUGGAAAGUGUCCAAAGUGUUGCAUCCAGUACAGAGAGCUGGGGAUGUUCUGUAGAUUGCUACCCAACUCCCGUUCCUAGAUGGCCCCCACCCUCUUCUCUCUUUCACACAUUACACACCCCCUUUCACUCCGGC